rnacentral:lncRNA from 1 species
GGCAUUUCCUCUUCCUACGGGAUGUUUUCGUCUUCAUUUUCCAGAAGGGACAACCUGACUGCCUUAAGAGUAUUUCUUCCCGAUCGAGGAUGCGCUCGACUUCCAAAGAAAGGGACGAGAAGGAACAUUAAUGGAGCAUCUUCUGCCGUUGGGACUGUGCAGGGGAAGUGGACCAACCUUAGGAGCAAGGAUGCCCUCCAUACUAGAGGAGGCUUUGGAAGUGGAGCUCUGGAGCUGUGGAGAGGCAGAACGCUAGAAAGGCUGCACCGAGAGGCAAGACCACAAGAAAGGAUCUAGCAGCGUGCUGUGAGCGGUUACUGUUAGAAGCGGCCCAGUGUUUCGUCGGUUCAAAUCCUGGGUGCGGACAUGGCACUGCUCAUCAAACCAUGCUGAGGCGGCGUCCCACAUGCCACAACUAGAAGGACCCACAACGAAG